AUCAUUUUUUAUGGCUGCAUAGUAUUUGAUAUUAAAGGAUUUUAAGCAGAGGAAUAACAUGGUCACUCUGAAUUUAAAAUUUUACUUAUGAAAUUGAUAGUAAUCGAUGAUUAGUUGUUGAGCAUGAAAGAGAAGGAAGAAUCAAGUGAGAAUCUCAAAUUUCUGGUGCAAGCAAUGAAGUGCCAUUCACUCUGUUUCUUGGUAGAGAAGUUGCUUUGAGGGGGGAAGUUGUUAUCAGUUUAGGACAUGUUGAUUUUGAGUUACUUCUAGGUCUCAAAAUGGAGAUGUCUAUAGAUAGUAAAACAUAUAGCUUGGCAGCUCAUGUGAGAUGACUGACCUAGAGUUACAGCUUUUUGAGUCAUAAACAUAUAGAUGGUAUAUUCAUUAAAUUUUCAUCUUUUAUGUUUUUUUAUUUUUUAUUCUAAUUUUUAAUUCACAUGGAACUCACUUUGUUGUAACAUCUUAGAUGGGAAUUCAGUUUUAUUUGUUUCUAGUAACUAGCUGAUUAUCUCAACAUGUUCCAUACUAAUUUAGAGUUGGAGUCUGAAGAAUUAAUAGAAUUUUGUAGGUGAAAGGAUUGGAAUGAGAAGAUUAUUUCAGGUAGAGAAAAUAGUAUGUGCAAAUGCCCUGAGGUGGGAGAGUGCAUGGUGAUGUCAAGAGUUUCUAAAAAGAGAGUAGUGUUAUAUGAAAUUCGAAAAGUGGGUGUGGAGCUGGUAUUUUAGGCCCUAUUAAAAAUUUAAUUUUUGUUCCAGGACAGCAGAAAGUCAUUGAAAAUGAAGAGAGUUAAUAAAACAAAAGAAAAGAGGACAGAUGGUGGGAUGCUUGGUUAAUGAUUGAGUGGUAGAAUAGUUUUUAUGAUAACAAAGUCUCAUGGUAAUGAAACUAAUUGGCUAAGGUUUGAGAAAAGUUGUUGAGGAUGAAAAGAUUAAAGAAUAAGGGCACUGGAUACGUUGUACAAGUGCGUAUCAUAGGCAAUCAGGAUUCUAAAAGGACUUGAUUUGGGGAAGAAGGCACUGAGCCAGGUGUGUUUUGUAGUAUAUUACAUUGUUAUGUUAAUUAUACUAAAAUAUACUAUAUUAAGCAGAGGAAAAUAGCCAAAUGUUAUAGUUUUAAAACUUUACUCACCAAUGAGAAAGAAACAACUAUUUUGCUCAUGUCAUGGAAUUCUCAUUAUGCUCAGGGACUUGUCAACUCUGGAAGAAAGAAUAUGUUGCCGUUCACCUGAAGGAGACAGUGUAGUAUUGACAACAGUAGACUGUGGAAUAAGACAAGUCUGGAUUUGAAUGCUGAUGACAUGGGGUAAUUAACCUCACCCCUUUAAGCCUCAAGUUUUGAAUCAUUCACAUAGGAUUUCUAAUGCCAAUUUUAUGAAAGUGCAGUCAGGAUGAAAUCAGAUAAAAUGUGUGACACAUCAACCAUAGUGCCUGGCAUUUAACAUGUGCUAAAUAAAUUGAAAUUCUUCUCCUGUGAGAAAUCCUAUCUAGGGAAAUACCAGUUGUAAGUAGGAACCUGUGAGCUGUCCCAUUGGGUUUUGGUCGAAAAAACAGUUUUUCAAAUUAUAAUUUUUUUGCAACGGAACAAGCAAAUGAAUAGUUUGUCAAAGAUGGCAAGAUGCUUUACUUCUUAAAUUCCUUUAUAAUAUGGAAACUUAAUUCCAUUCUGUGGUGAUUAUAGUUCAGUCUCUGAAGAUAAUUGCACCUAAUUGUGAUCUUGUUACGAAUAACUUUGUAGAGAGAAAUGCAGCUAAACAAUGAGGUUGAUUACCUGAGGUUUACAGCAUUCAGAGAAAUGACAAAAAUAGGGCAGAGUCCUUGGCUGAAUAUUGAUUAGUGAAUAAAAACUAGGGUAUUCUUUGAGAUUUAAGAAGUGUACUUUUCUUUCAGCUCCUGUGAGAACUAGGCAAAUUAGUGGCAAUCUUGCCCACUUGGGGGUAGACAAUAUUGUUUUUACUAGUUAGUAAUGUUAAGUACAAUUUAUUGUGUGUCUACUAUGUCCCAGAAGCUUUCCAAGCACUGAACAAAUUUAUAAUUGCUUUUUUCCCCCCAUUCUCCAGAUGAAAAAGCUGAGGCUGGGAGAAAUAAAGUGAUUCAUCCACGGUUAAUGGCAGAGUCGGAAUUUGAACCCAUGUUGGUCUUUAAAGCCUGAGUCUACCUCCUGUGUUAUUCUGCCUCCAGGCAAAGCUCUGGGAGGCGUAGGUGUUACAUUUCUGGACUAUUCUAAAAGGAACAUAGAUAACAAAAUGUCUUAGGAAGCUGAUUUACUUAGGGUUCUGAAAAGAACUGAACCAAGAGGUUUAUUAUAAGGAAUUAGCUUACACAAUUACAAAGGCUGGCACGUCCCAAAUCUGCUUUGUGGGCUGGCAAACUGGAUACCCAGAAAAGCUAUGCAGCAGAUGAAGCCUGAGGUAGUUUGCUGGAGAAUUCCCUCUUGCUCAGGGAUAUUGGGUUUUUUGUUCUAUUCAGGCCUUCAACUGAUUGGAUGAGACCCACUCACAUUAUGGAAGGCAAUCUGCUGUUCAAAGUCCAUGGACUAAUAUGUUAAUCUCAUCCCAAAACACCCACCAAGUUGACACAUAGAAUUAAACAUCACAGAAACUUUGAAGAGUCUGCAUUUAAAAGUCAGUUCUCCAGAAGGUGGAAUUUAACAGGCAAUUACAUAGUUUUCUACCUUAAUAAUUAGCAGAGCCCACUUAAUGGAACUGAAGGAAGAGUACAGUAUGUUAGAUGAUGCUAUAACUGUUAAGGAUAAACUGUAAUUCCUAGAUUCAUAGCAGAUAAAAUUCUAACUAUAAAAAUCCAACCUCUGAGCUUUGGUUUGAAAAACUACCACUCUAGGUAUAGCAACUGUCACUGCAGGCUUAUCUUUGUAAUAAUGAUAAUAAUGAUACAUAGUGGUAGUAACAAUAGUUAACAGUUAUUGGCUGCUUCUUGUAAGCCAGACAUAGCUUCUGUUGUUUUCAUGUGUUACUCUUGUUUAAUUGUCUCAGCACUAGGAAGAAGGGACUAUUACUACUCUUAUAUGCCUUCUAUUCUAUGUAUGGAAACAGAGUCUCAGAGAGGUUAGAAAGUUAGCCACAGUAAGGCAGACAGUAAACAGCGGAUCCAGAAUUCAAAGAAAUACAGAAUGUUUUCAGCACAUGCUACACAUAACGGAGAUUUGGGGCACCAAAGUCCAUUUGCCCUCAAAUCUCUCACCAUUACUUGUCACAGUGUCUGAAGUUGUCACCAUUAGAAGGAUCAAAUAAUUGGAAAACCAAAUCAUCAACACUAAUUGUGUGUCAGCACUCAUGAAGUUUCUUGGGGGUAUAGAAAGAAUGAUGAACUGGACUCCUUACCUUGAAAGAACUAGCAGUCUUGUUGGAGAACCUUGAAUAGACCCAAAAGGAAGAAAUACUUGGGGCUGAAUUGCCUCCACACAUUUGAUAUAUUGUUUUCUUGUAUUUAGGGGGUGGGAAUUCUUACUUUUUGUUUGUUUUGUUCUUUAGCUUAACUUAGUUUUGUUUUUUGUUUUUAACUGUGGUAAGGAUGCUUAAUAUGAGAUCUUAACAGAUUUUUAAUUGUAUAAUAUACUAUUGUUAACUUAGAUACAAUAUUGUACAGCAAAUGUCUAGAAUUUAUUCAUCUUGCAUAACUGAUACAUUAUACCCAUCACUGCCUCCCUAGUAUCCUUUUCUUCCAGGACUUGACAAUCACCAUUCAACUCUCUGUUUCUAUGGAUUUGACUAUUUUAGAGACCUCAUAUAACUAGAAUUAUACAAUAUUUGUCCUGUGACUAGCUUAUUUCACUUAGCAUAAGUCCUCAAGGUUCAUCAUGUUAAAUAUUACAGAAUUUCCUUCUUUUAAAGGCUGAAUAAUAUUCCAUUGUAUGUAUUUAUCACAUUUUAUUUAUUCAUUCAUCCACUGGUGGACAUUUAAGUUGUUUCUACAUCUUGGCUGUAGUAAAUAAUGCUGCAAUGUACAUGGGUGUGCAGAUGUCUUGUCAAGAUCCUGAUGUCAAUUCUUAGUAAAUUCCCAGAAAUGGGAUUGCUGGAGCAUAUGGUACUUCUGUUUUUAAGUUAAGUUUUUGAGGAAUCUCCACACUGUUUUCCAUAGCAGAUGCACUGUUUUACAUUUCCACUUAUGUUGUGCAAGAGUUCCAAUUCCUCCACAUCCUUGCCAAUAUUCUUUGUCUUUUGUAUUUUUGAUAAUAGCUAUUCUAACAGGUAUGAAGUGAUAUCUCAUUGUGGUUUAGAUUUAUAUUUUUUGGAUUGGUGAAAUAUCUUUUUAGAUACCUGUUGUCCAUUUGUAUGUCUUCUUUGGAGAAAUGUCUAUUUAAGUAUUUACCCUAUUUUAAAAUCGG
rnacentral:lncRNA from 1 species